rnacentral:rRNA from 1 species
UAGGGAAUCUUCCGCAAUGGGCGAAAGCUUGACGGAGCAACGCCGCGUGAGUGAUGAAGGUCUUCGGAUCGUAAAACUCUGUUAUUAGGGAAGAACAAAUGUGUAAGUAACUAUGCACGUCUUGGCGGUACCUAAUCAGAAAGCCACGGCUAACUACGUGCCAGCAGCCGCGGUAAUACGUAGGUGGCAAGCGUUAUCCGGAAUUAUUGGGCGUAAAGCGCGCGUAGGCGGUUUUUUAAGUCUGAUGUGAAAGCCCACGGCUCAACCGUGGAGGGUCAUUGGAAACUGGAAAACUUGAGUGCAGAAGAGGAAAGUGGAAUUCCAUGUGUAGCGGUGAAAUGCGCAGAGAUAUGGAGGAACACCAGUGGCGAAGGCGACUUUCUGGUCUGUAACUGACGCUGAUGUGCGAAAGCGUGGGGAUCAAACAGG